GACGAACGCUGGCGGCGCGCCUAACACAUGCAAGUCGAACGAGCGAGAGAGAGCUUGCUUUCUCAAGCGAGUGGCGAACGGGUGAGUAACGCGUGAGGAACCUGCCUCGAAGAGGGGGACAACAGUUGGAAACGACUGCUAAUACCGCAUAAGCCCACGACCCGGCAUCGGGUAGAGGGAAAAGGAGCAAUCCGCUUUGAGAUGGCCUCGCGUCCGAUUAGCUAGUUGGUGAGGUAACGGCCCACCAAGGCGACGAUCGGUAGCCGGACUGAGAGGUUGAACGGCCACAUUGGGACUGAGACACGGCCCAGACUCCUACGGGAGGCAGCAGUGGGGAAUAUUGCACAAUGGGGGAAACCCUGAUGCAGCGACGCCGCGUGGAGGAAGAAGGUCUUCGGAUUGUAAACUCCUGUUGUUGAGGAAGAUAAUGACGGUACUCAACAAGGAAGUGACGGCUAACUACGUG
rnacentral:rRNA from 1 species